AAGCCAUGCAUGUCUAAGUAUAAACAAAUUUAUACAGUGAAACUGCGAAUGGCUCAUUAAAUCAGUUAUAAUUUAUUUGAUAUUCACUUACUACUUGGAUAACCGUGGUAAUUCUAGAGCUAAUACAUGCGUACAUAACCUCGACUUCUGGAAGAGGUGCACUUAUUAGAUAAAAAGCCAACGCGGGCAACCGCUUGUAUGGUGAUUCAUAAUAAUUAAGCGAAUCGCAUGGCCUUGUGCCGGCGAUGAUGCAUUCAAAUUUCUGCCCUAUCAAGUUUCGAUGGUAGGUUAGUGGCCUACCAUGCUUUUAACGGGUAACGGGGAAUUAGGGUUCGAUUCCGGAGAGGGAGCCUGAGAAACGGCUACCACAUCCAAGGAAGGCAGCAGGCGCGCAAAUUACCCAAUCCCGACACGGGGAGGUAGUGACAAUAAAUAACAAUACAGGGCCUUUACGGGUCUUGUAAUUGGAAUGAGUACAAUUUAAAUCCCUUAACGAGGAACAAUUGGAGGGCAAGUCUGGUGCCAGCAGCCGCGGUAAUUCCAGCUCCAAUAGCGUAUAUUAAAGUUGUUGCAGUUAAAAAGCUCGUAGUUGAAUUUUGGCCUUGGGUGGUUUGGUUUGGCCUUCAUUGGUCAAUGCCUUUUCCGCCUAGGUCUUACCUUCUGGGUUAGCUAGUGUCAUUUCGGUGGCGCUAGUGAACCAGAACUUUUACUUUGAAAAAAUUGGAGUGUUUAAAGCAGGCUUUCAAGCUUGAACAUAUUAGCAUGGAAUAAUGAAAUAGGACUUUGGCCUUAUUUCGUUGGUUUCUAAAGCCAAAGUAAUGAUGAAUAGGGAUAGUUGGGGACAUUAGUAUUCAAUUGUCAGAGGUGAAAUUCUUGGAUUUAUUGAAGACUAACUUCUGCGAAAGCAUUUGUCAAGGAUGUUUUCAUUAAUCAAGAACGAAAGUUAGGGGAUCGAAGACGAUCAGAUACCGUCGUAGUCUUAACCAUAAACUAUGCCGACUAAGGAUCGGAUGGUGUUAUAUUUUAUAUUGACCCAUUCGGCAUUUCAGCGAAAGCCAAGUUUUUGGGUUCCGGGGGGAGUAUGGUCGCAAGGCUGAAACU
rnacentral:rRNA from 1 species